UGUCAGGCUCAUGCGGUGAAAAUGGGAGAAAGCCACACACACCAUCUGCUAUUGUUAUUGGUGGUGGGUUUACAGGUCUUGCUGCUGCUGAUGCGCUCAGAAAUGCAUCCUUCCAGGUUAUUCUUCUGGAAUCUCGUGAUAGAAUUGGUGGCAGAGUUCACACUGACUACUCUUUUGGGUUUCCAGUCGAUUUGGGAGCAUCUUGGCUUCAUGGCGUCUGUGAAGAAAAUCCCUUGGCACCAAUAAUUGGAAGGCUUGGACUUCCACUGUACCGCACAAGUGGAGACGAUUCUGUGCUGUUUGAUCAUGAUCUGGAGAGCUAUGCACUCUAUGACACUAAUGGACGUCAAGUACCACAGGAGUUGGUAGAAAAGAUUGGGAAGGUGUUUGAGACCAUACUGGAAGAGGUAUUCCCCCCUUUCAAUUAGUGGUGUGUCAGUGCCUGUUGAUUUUAGGUAGUUUCUAUUAUUUGAUUUACCCACAACACUUCUGUGCACAGACUAGCAAAUUGAGGGAAGGAACCAAUGAAGAUAUGUCUAUCGCAAAAGCCAUUGCAAUUGUUAUGGAUAGAAAUCCACAGUUGAGGCAAGAAGGGAUUGCUCAUGAAGUUCUUCAGUGGUAUUUGUGCCGUAUGGAGGGUUGGUUUGCCACUGACGCAGAUUCAAUUUCACUACAGGGCUGUGAUCAGGUAUGUUUCUUUUUCUUACAAUCUGGCCAGUAUACUUGCACAUUGUGAAAUUAUUGUGCCUUAUGCAUGAUAAUGUUGAUGGGAUGCAGGAGGUGCUGCUUCCAGGUGGCCAUGGCCUCAUGGUUCGUGGAUAUCGUCCAGUUAUAAAUACUCUUGCAAGAGGCUUAGAUAUACGUCUCAACCAU